GAUAGGAGAUCUGACGAGAGGGGGCCUGGGGCAGGAAGGAGGAGACCGUGGAGAACUCGGGCACGUAAUGGAGGUUUUGGACCUGAUCUAGCGAGGGGGGAAAAUUUGGGAAGGCGAGAUGACGCGUUAUCCGUCUUAGUCUCUCUCCCCGAGCACGUGAUCCAAAGUAGAUAUUGUCAUAUAUCAGUUCGGAGCACUUCGCAGUCGUAGGAGGGGUUCUCUCUUAGGGACUCUUACCCCACCAACCUGAAGAGGGUCACAGCGCCUGUUAACAAGAGUUUGAAGAAGUCGAUUCUUUUCCUGGCCAGGGCUGGGUAACAAGGCUCCCUUUCCCCUUUGGAGAGACUCCCUGGAAGUGUAUCUGAAGUUUCCCAAAGGACACAUCUGGGCAGCUGAAAAUCAGUUUAUUGAACGGUUCUAGACUGGGUACCAGAGCAACUGCCCACAAGCAGAAAGCAACCUUGCAUCCAAGGAGGAGCCACCAGGGCAUGAUCUGUUCUGUUCAGAUCAGCAGGAGUUUUGGGAGCCUGGAAACCUGACACGCCUGUGUUCUGAAGCCUGAUCCGAAAGCUUCCACAGUGUGGACCUGCCGCGUGGGGCAGAAUGUGGCCGCCUGCGCUCCCUUGCCCCAGUGGGGAAGUCGUCUUCUGCUCAUGAUUCAAAAGUCUCUCCCAUUUGGCUGCUCCCCUCUCUGCGGUCUCCGUGGUUCUCCGGUCACUACAGCCAGAAGUUGAGUUACAAGAAGAUUCGCCAGAGAUUUAUCGCCUGGCCCCAAACUUGGAAAGCCUCGUUGUCAUAAACAACCGUCUAUUGUCUAGACUUUUAUCUCCGGGCCCCAAAGAGUCCAAUGUUUACAAGACCAGAAAUGCCACGGCCACGUCCUGGCAGAAAGAAAGGCUGAAAUGGAGGACUGACGCCUUCCUUAUAAGCUCACUGGGGCCUGAGCCAGUACCAACCUGGUAGAAAAAGCAACCAUGAAGCCAGAGAGAGAGCCAAAGGAGGGAAAAGAGCGCCAGAUGGAGAUGAAAAGGAACCACGCGGAGAAAUGCAGGGAAAGAAGGAGGCGGCAGGUUCCGGAACAAAUGUGGCAGAGGGCAAGACAGGCACUCAUGGACAGAGGUUUAUGUAUUUUUAUUAAACAAUUUUUUUUAAAUUUGGGGCUCAGUGAAGAGAAGGGACAACUCAGGAAAGGGGAGAGGAGAGGGAAUUAUUCGAGUCACAGCGUGACCACCCCAGAAGGGGAGAACACUGGAUACACCAGAUCCUCGGUGAUCCUCGGUGCUGCUGCUGGAGCAGCACUGGGCUCCCUCUGGUUCCGACUUGCCGCCGUCGCACAGCCCGUUGGGCUGGGCUAUCGAGGCCCCCCUUGCGGCCACGAGGGCUUCCUCGCUCUCCUUAUCAUUCCAUCUUUAUGACGAGGCUUGUUAACAAGACCAGCGAGCUGGCCACGCACAUCUAUCUCUGCCGCUCGAGCUCAGCCAAGCAGCGGCCGGCGGGGGCGGUGUGGGGGGGGACUGGUGAGGCACUAAUUAAUUGAUUUCUUUGGACAGUAAAGUAUGGCCGCAUCUACAUGGAACCUAUCGACUCAUAAACAAUAUCUCUGUUGGGUGUGAGUGUAUUGUCUCUCAAAGAAUUUUUCCAUAGGCGUGUGUCAUGUAGUCCAGGAUUUUUAGCUGCUAAAGAAAGACCCAAGUGGGACUCAUUUUUAGGGGGCCAGAUCGGAGUUAGCUCAGCUCCACAAAAUACUUUAAGUUAUGACUGCCUCCGAAAAAGCGUUGGGAAUGGGUUUUGUUGAGAAAAACUUGGGUUAUUGGAUAACCUUUCCCAGUUGCUUGUGUAGACCCGGCCAAGGUUAAGGAUGGGAACUGGAGUCGAGGAGUUGGGCAGGCCGGAGUCCUCUUCCUGGUCGUCUGGGACGGAGUGGGGCUGCUCUCGGAUUUGAGAGGAGCAUAGAAGACAAGGUCCAGCCUUUACUUCAUACUGCUCCUUGGACUUGAGUUUUUAAAGUAAAUUUUAAAAAGGUUAAACAAACCUUAGCUUUCAAGAAGCCCUUGCAUGCUCAGCACACAGCCGGAACCUGCCUGUUACACACCUCACCUGGUUGCUGCGCUUCCUUCUUUCCCCCUUUCCUAACUGGCAGCUCAGAGUAACUAUAUUUAUAUUAGAUCUAGAAGAACACAUCCUGAGACAGAAGGGGUAACAUAAUUAUACAAUGCUAAUUCCAUACAGGAGUGAUUAUGCAGUCAGACCCUGCCAGCAAACAGGACCUAGGGCUCUAAAUAUAGACCCUGACCUCAGACAAGAGAAGCAACAGUUAAAUUGAGAUAGAAGACCACUCAUAUAAAUAAUCCAUGUAGACACAGAAGAGGGUUUGUAAAAGACAGAAAUAAUAGAAAUACAGGACAGAAAAGAGGUUCAGCUGAUAGAGAAUGUCACUGCCAAUGCCUGAGCUUCCUCCUGCUACUGUUUUUAAGAUUGCCAGAGAAAUGUGUAUUAUAAAUACAGUAAUAUGUGAAAUCAAAGUAUGUACUUCAAUGUAUUUGGUACACAUACCCCAUGUAUACAAACAUAAUAUAUUUUUCAUACACUGGGUUGAUAGGCACUUUGUGUAUAUAUAAUAACAUGAUGUAUAUUUUCCAUGCAGUUUUUUAACGUGGAUAUAUUAAUAUCUGGAUGCAUUGUCCAUGUACUGAUUUUAUAUGCCCUUCGGAGUGUAUACAUCCAUGUAGCUAAAUAGAUGUAGGACUGUACCUUCCCUGCGCAGGAUGUGUGCAAGUGUACUGUUUAUGUAAAUGAAUUUUUACAUGUGAUGGGUAUACAUGCUAUAUGUAAUCUUUUCCCAGGAGGUUGUUUUCCCAUACAAUAGAUAAGAGUGCCUCCAUAUGUAUAUUUUCUAGAGAAAUAUAUUUUCCAUGCCCAGAAUGUACAUGUAAUAUAGAUCUCUGU